CCCAAAUUGGGGGGCCUUCUAUAACGUUCCUAACCAAUGCUCUUCACAGGGAUCAAGAUCAAGAUCAUAAACAACAAGGAAAACCAAGGAAUCAUCACAGGCUGGGGGAGACUAAGUAGACAACACAACUCAAUGCAAUGUGGAAUCCUAGAACAGAGAAAGGACGCUGGCAGAAGAAUGAGUCAAUCCAAUAAGCAGGGCCAAGACUGAUAACGAAUGGCCCGUGGGAAGCGCACGAAGUCCAACGUGAAUCAACGAUAGCACUAAUGAAAUUGCUUCAAGUUCUAGAGCAGAAGAUGGUAAGCUCCUGAGGCCACAUCCCACGAGUGUCAAAAGGGACGAAAUGUCUGACCACUUACUGAGC
rnacentral:lncRNA from 10 species